rnacentral:misc_RNA from 1 species
UUUUUUUUUUUUUUGGCAGUAGACAAUGAGCAGAAAUUUUCCUAAAAAUUCUUUCAUAAGUAUCAUCAUCUUAGUACUUCCUGUAUUUUUAAAUUCUCCUUUAUCAUUAGUAACUUUUUCCUGUUGACAUUUGAAUUGAAACUGGUUAUUUUGCAUGUAUGCUAAUUUAGAAUUGCAUAGCCAUUAUCAACUAUUGCGUUUCAAUAACUAGUUUGAUUUCUCUGAUAGUGAGUUUUUUGUUUCAAUUCUUAAUGAUGUGUAUUUUGGAAUGUUUUACUCAAGUAAUAUGGGUUAAUUAACCGGUGUAAUUAGGAAAUGAAGGUUAAUUGCAUGUAGUAAUAUCCAGGAAACUUAUGUGGGCCACAAUCUGCUUGUAAUUUCUUCGUCCACUAUAUAGAUGAAGUAAAGUGUUUCAUUUGCGAAGAUUGCUAGUUCUUUGCAGAUAAGAAAUACACACCAACAAAUCUUUUUAAUGAAAAUCUGCACUUUGGAACUUUAUUCCAGGUAUUGCUAGAUAAUUUUGUCAUUGUUUUGAUACAGCCCAACUUAUUUUGCAG